UACUCCAGACUACGUAGCUGUUCAGGAAACUACAAAAUGACAAAGCGUUAAGAGAAUGGAGAUGGAGUUAUCUCAAUGUUAACAUAGUCUACACCCACUCACAACCGUGGUCAGCUUCUCUCAUCUUCUGAGUAUUAACGACCUCUGCUUCCUCCAGUCCCUUCCUUCAACUCCAGGCAAGCAGUAGGAUGACUCUGACAGCCCUCAAACCUGGUUUCACGUGACCAUACUGAACUACUGACGUUUUGUGUUGCGUUGCCUUUAGAGGAUGAACUUCCUCAAUCCCUCAGAUCUCUCAAAAUUCCCAGGGAAGAGGAAUGAGGUAGAGUUCUGUCUUCAAACAGAGCACUGUCUGUUCUGCGUGAAAUGUGGACCCUGAGGCAGAACGUGGUUGGGCGGAGCAGGUCGAAUGCCUAUGGAGCUGUACUCCAAGGCUUGGUCGUGGGCUCCUUGCUCUUUCACAGUGCGAGGCCGUGUUAAUGGCUGGGUCACAGCCGCGUGUUCCAGAUGUGACUGUUCACCACCGGCUAGCCACGUGGAUUCACCAUAUUUUAGCAAUAUUUUAAAAAGCCAGGGAAAGUCAUAGUCCCUUCCUAACCCAGUGGCUGGUGUGUCGUGUUUUGCCAGCUCCAUCACGAUAAGAAGUGAUUCAAACUACAUGGGCCAGUAGAGGCCGACCUGUUGGAGCACUAAACCCCACGUACUUCUUACCCAGACUCAGUAGGGAGACAAGCAGCCCUGCCGGCUUCAGAGUGGGUAAACAGAGGGUCCAAAUACGUUUUCACCCCCCUUAGAAACAGACACAGUCCCGCAAAAAGCCUAGCUCACCAAGCAAGAUGGCUCUGACCUGAGCAGUGGGGACUGGAAGCCGCUCCACGUGACCCGUCCUCCUCCGGGACCCGACGAGGCGCACCUGCAGGGCCAGAGGGCGCGGAAACACCUGGCAGGAGGCGUGCCCAGCCCGCUUUGGACUCCAGUGUCCUGGAACUCGCACACGCGCCCCAGGGUUACCUGGCAGGCCCCUCGUCACAAAGGCCUGCAGAGACUUCCGCCUGGUUGCCUAUCACGAGAUCGCGCGAGACUUGGAGGACUGCACCUGCCUUCACUUCUCCAGUCCCGGGGCGUGUGGCGCAGAAGGCUCCAGAAAGUCAAGUGGUACAUCAGACAAUGGACUCAGAAGAGGAAGUGAACAGAUAACACUCAAGAAUGAAAGGUCAGUGCUGAUGCCAAAGUCAAGAUCCAAGUCUAAGAAGAAUAAAAGAUUGCUGUGGUGGAAAGAACAUGAACCUGUUUGCUCCUUUGUGGAAUCAGAGUUGACCAGAGAACCAGAUAAACAGAAUAGCUUCAACUUCCACUCUAUGCUUCAGAUACAACAUUGGUUCCCGGGUCAUCCCAUUUCUCAUAAUCUUGAGCAAGUCACUUCACCUCAGUGUCUCCAGUAACAAAAUGAUGCAGCUGGACUGGAUGACCUCAUGCAUUUCUUUCAGCUUUAGGAACUCUCUAGCAUAAGCAACCGGUUGUGCCAUCUUCCAAUCACACUACCCACUGGGAUAACUGUGAAAAACCUACAAGAGCAUGCUUCAUCGCUGGGUAAUUCCCCUUCCUUUUUCCCCUCAUUAUAGGUAAUUAUUUUUAAAAUGAAAAAGUAGGGAAACUUUCCUGUUUGGCCUCUAAAAUAAGAAAGCUGGGUGCGAUCAAUUUCCCAUUCAAUUUCCCAUUCAUCAAGAUGAACUUGAGAUCCAAUGUCAAUCAGUUCCCCCAUCUAUGAGCAUAAGGAUAACCCAGAUAACUUUAGAAAGACCCAUUUUUUCAUCUAGCGAAACAGAAGUACCUUCUAGCCGGCGCCGCGGCUCACUAGGCUAAUCCUCCGCCUUGCAGCGCCGGCACACCAGGUUCUAGUCCCAGUGGGGGUGCCGGAUUCUGUCCCGGUUGCCCCUCUUCCAGGCCAGCUCUCUGCUGUGGCCAGGGAGUGCAGUGGAGGAUGGCCCAAGUCCUUGGGCCCUGCACCCCAUGGGAGACCAGGAGAAGCACCUGGCUGCUGCCUGCAGAUCAGCGCGGUGCGCCGGCCACAGUGCGCUGGCCGCGGCAGCCAUUGGAGGGUGAGCCAACGGCAAAGGAAGACCUUUCUCUCUGUCUCUCUCUCUCACUGUCCACUCUGCCUGUCAAAACAAACAAACAAACAAACAACAACCUUCUUUCUGGACUGACAGCUGAUUAAAGGCACUUCUACAAAAUACUGUUUUCUAAAGGAACCAUGUGCAGUCACUCCAAAAACUGGGCAGCACAUGUAACUUUAUCCCUCUAUCCCUACUGGUUCAGGAGGUGUUUUUGUGAUACUUGUUUCAUCACAGGAGCAAAUCAUAGGACAGCAUAGUAAUUUCAUUUACCCACUUCCUGGAAGCCAUUCACAAAACAAAACAAGUACAAAUGUUUCUCAGUUGUGCCUUCUAACUUUCUUAGUGGUUGAAGCACAUCUUUCUUGUAAUAUAAAACCUGGAUACUGGGGCGGCGCUGUGGUGUAGUGGGUAAAGCCUCUGCCUGCAGUGCCGGCAUCCCAUAUGGGCCCUGGUUCAAGUCUCGGCUGUUCCACUUCCUAUUCAGCUCUCUGCUACGGCCUGGGAAAGCAGUAGAGGAUGGCUCAGGUCCUUGGGCCCCAGAGACCUGGAGGAAGCUCCUGAUUCCUGGCUCCUGGCCUCAGCACAGCUCUGGCAGUUGCGGCCAACUUGGGAGUGAACCUGUGGAUGGAAGACCUCUCUUUCUCUCUCUGCCUCUCCUUCUCUCUCUGUGAAACUCUGAUGUUCAAAUAAAGAAAUUAAUUAAUUAAAAAAUAUAAAACCU
rnacentral:lncRNA from 1 species